rnacentral:rRNA from 1 species
CAGUCGCCGCGGUAAUACAGAGGGUGCAAGCGUUAAUCGGAUUUACUGGGCGUAAAGCGUGCGUAGGUGGCUGUUUAAGUCGGAUGUGAAAGCCCUGGGCUUAACCUGGGAACUGCAUUCGAUACUGGAUAGCUAGAGAUCGGUAGAGGGCAGCGGAAUUCCGGGUGUAGCGGUGAAAUGCGUAGAUAUCCGGAGGAACACCGAUGGCGAAGGCGGCCCCCUGGACAAAGACUGACGCUCAGGUGCGAAAGCGUGGGGAGCAAACAGGAUUAGAUACCCCAGUAGUCCCUGUCUCUUAUAC